UAUGUUUAGAAGAAGUUCUUAAGCAGAAAAUCUUCUUAAAACUAUUGAUGUUUAGAAGAAGUUCUUAAGAGAAAAUUACAUUGACUACCCAACGCAUCCACCCUUCAAUCAACAAAGACAUGCAGAUAAUACUUUUUUAAGUCUCAAGUAUUGUUUUAAGAGAAAUAUUUGAAGAACGCAAGUAUAUUUACUUGUUAUGCUCAGUCUACAUGCACAAAUAUUGUUAAUUCAAUUUUUACAAUGCUAUAAAAAUAUGGAUCCAAGCGUACAUUUACAGACAGACAUUGUCUCUUCUCGAAUAUAAAAGUUUUUCCGACGUUCAAUUAUAAACCCAUCGUUUGAAUGUGGUACAAGGUAUUUGAAGGAGCCGAAGGACGGGGAGAUAAUAAGGAAACUGCGUGGAAUAUAGGAUCGAAUCGGAGUGAGAGAUAAAAAGGAGAGGAAAACGCCGUUUGAUAUCAAAUUCGAAGCGGUGCUAUUCAUUCCGAGAGGAAGACGUCUCGCGGAAAGGGCAAACGGAUAAUUUUAUGCGAAGAGAAUGGACGAACGAACGAACGGGGAAGAGUAAUGUCGGAUUCUUCAUCGUCUCGCAUUUUCCGCUUCUCCUCUUGAUAAUUAUUACGCAAAAACGAGAUUUAAUGUGGAUUUUCGUUUCCGGGAUUUCAUCAUGUAGUCGCCGACGAUGAUCACCAUCAUCAUUGAGCAUUCUGCAGUCAUCGCACUUUUACUCGAUGGUUGUGUUGGGAGAUGAAGAAGACUUACCGAUAUAAAGAGAACGCUUUAGAGAUUUUGCAGCAGGGGAUAAAAUCAAAGGGGGACCAAAAAUGUGCAUAUUCUGAUGCUGAUCCAGCGCGCGUUCGAUCGGAUUUGUAUUUCGGAAUCCGUAAGUACAAUUACACUUGGAUAACCUGUACAUACGCUAUUCGCACUUUUACGGAUGGUUUAUCUUCUGCAAGAUGCAGAUUUUUUUUUGAUGUUGUUGUUGUUGUUGUUUGUUUGUUCUAGGAGCAAACGCGAGGUCCGAGCGCGGUCAAAUGCAACGGCGGCGAUGGCAUCGCGCAACUUUAUAACGCGAGGAAAAAGAGAGCGAACGACCGACGACCCAUGGUCUCCCAAUGGUAUGGAAUGGAAUGGAACGGUGUGGGUACCGCAUCGAGCGGAAUGGAAUGGUACGGAUAGAGAUGGAAUGGUGGAGAAGGAGGAGAUGGUAAAGAAGGAGAUGGAUAAUUUCCUGAGAUAAUUUUGAAUUGGAUAAUUAUGCAACCAGAGGUACGCGUAACAGUUGUCAAUAAUUUGAAAAGGUUUGCGCGUUGCUACGCGACGCUCUCUGGACAGUUAAACGUCCUUGGUUCCGGAUCCUGUUCGGACGGGCGGCAGAUUCGAACUUUCGAAAAAGAUAAACGCAAAGAAAUCUCCUAGGAAACAAUAUGUUACCAUGGAUAUUAAAUAAGUGCAACGCCAGGUAAUGCUAAGUAAUUUACUUAAUUUCGCUAAUAUUUAGGAUUGAGGCAAUAAUAGCCUUAGCACGGAAUCGUCGAAGGUUACGGUUAUGCCAAUUUCCUGUUUUUUUUUUUGCAACAGCAAACGCAAUACGAAGAAGGAGAAGAAGAAGAUAAAAAUGCGUAAGUACGUCGCGUUUUUUUUUUCUUACAUGUGAUUUCGCAAGUCGCCGAGGUGUACAAACUUCGUGCAGGAUCAUACCAUCAUCAUCGUCGUCAACCUAUCGGAACCGAAAGGGAAGAGAGGACGAGGAGUGAGCGAGGUUCGAGCGAAAAGUGAUUAACAGUAAUAAGCGAAACGCUUUUCCAGAAAACAAUACGAAAUGCAGCUCUAACGGUCCCUCGUUUCCUCCUCCUCCUCUUCUUCGUUUCUUCUUCCUUGUCCUCCUCUCAAGCACUGUUAGUCGGUUUGGUUUGGUUCUUCGGCCUAACAAUUGCACGUUUUAACCGCGAGAAGAAUGCCUCUCUCUCUUACUAUCUAUCUCCAGUUUCUCGGAGCAAUAAAUUUGUGCGCGCUUGAUUAAUCGAUUCAAGAAAAAUGAAUUACAAUUUUUAUUAUAUUGUGUGUGUGUGUUGCCGCAUCCUGCACAGCACCGUAUACGGAUGACUGAAAGAAGAAAAAAAAUGCUUACCCAUUGUCCGAACAUACGAGUUUAAUAGAUCCGAGAAAUUGACGUUUGUGGAUGAUUGAAAAAUGCGUUGCGUAAACCGGCAAUCUUGACAAUCUUGUCAAAGUUGUUGUUGUUGCUCUUGUUAUUGGGUUUUAUCGUUAAAAGUGUUUAUUAAAUGCCGAACGACAAUUAUAAUAUAUUGUAAUUGUCGGCGUAGGCAUACUCACUUUUCUUGUAUACCUUGAAACGUGCAAAUUUACAUCGUUCUUAGUAAUGUUACAGUUUUUU